rnacentral:rRNA from 1 species
UACGGAGGGGGCUAGCGUUGUUCGGAAUUACUGGGCGUAAAGCGCACGUAGGCGGCUUUGCAAGUCAGAGGUGAAAGCCCGGGGCUCAACCCCGGAAUUGCCUUUGAGACUGCAUCGCUAGAAUUGUGGAGAGGUAAGUGGAAUUCCGAGUGUAGAGGUGAAAUUCGUAGAUAUUCGGAAAGAACACCAGUGGCGAAGGCGGCUCACUGGCUCAUUUCUGACGCUCAGGCGCGACAGCGUGGGGAUCAAACAGG